rnacentral:tRNA from 1 species
UCCUCUGUAGUUCAGUCGGUAGAACGGCGGACUGUUAAUCCGUAUGUCACUGGUUCGAGUCCAGUCAGUCCAGUCAGAGGAGCCA